rnacentral:tRNA from 1 species
GCCCGGGUCGCCUAGUGGUAGGGCGGUGGGCUCGAGACCCACUGGCGGAGUCCCCGCCGCGUGUGUUCGAAUCACACCCCGGGCGCCA